rfam:Myotis lucifugus cont2.15241, whole genome shotgun sequence.
GGUGGUUCUUGGGUGAUGCACCCUGAAAUCAGGCUCCCUUUUCUCUGGUUCUAGGUGCAUCACCCGAGAACCGCA